UUCUAAUAAUUUAUACUCUCUUGUCUCUUCAAAUGGACAUUUUAUUUCCAUAUAAUCAUCAGAUAUUCCAAGUACACGAUAUGAUCGCUUUGUACGGGAAGCACGAGAGCAUGUUGAACGAGUUGAAAUUCCGUUUUCGAGUAAGCGCCCGGUGACAAUACGCGAGCGAUAUUACGCUCGAUACUUUAGGCAUAACAUUUUUAAUUCGUAAUUUGUCCUCGUUCGAUCAGAGCUCGAGUAUCUCCGAUUUCUACGCGUGCUUUCGCGAACCGUGGGCCGCGGCAAUCUUCUAUGAUAAAUUCGAGUGUUUGCGCGUCGAGAAUCGAGCCACAUUGCUGUCGCGGACGAACGUUCACGGCGUUUCCUUGGUCGACGAUUGCGUGCGCGCUUUAAUCAAAUCCAAGUGGAAGACGAUAUCUGAAAAGGAUCGACGUUACAUCGUGUCCCGAUACGCUGGCUCGGUUUAUCAUCAGGAGUUGGAGGAAAAUCUCGUGAAAUUUCUGGAAUUUUGCGAAGAUGAUCUCCCGAUGUAUUGUACUUGGCGUAAACAACGCCAGAUGUACAUGGACAUCGAGGAGAGUCCGUUGUACUUCGAGCAAUAGAAUACUUUGGUAAUUACUUAGUUUAACGGAGCAACCUCGGAUG